GCUGAAAUAGUUUAAGUUUUAAAAUGAGAUGUUAGGGGCGUUUGGAUUUUUUCAGUU
rnacentral:tRNA from 1 species